rnacentral:tRNA from 1 species
GCCCUCGUAGCUCAGUCGGAAGAGCAACCGCCUUGUAAGCGGUCGGUCGUCGGUUCGAAUCCGUCCGAGGGCU